rnacentral:rRNA from 1 species
UACAGAGGUCUCAAGCGUUGUUCGGAUUCAUUGGGCGUAAAGGGUGCGUAGGCGGCGCGGUAAGUCGGGUGUGAAAUCUCGGAGCUUAACUCCGAAACUGCAUUCGAUACUGCCGUGCUUGAGGACUGGAGAGGAGACUGGAAUUUACGGUGUAGCGGUGAAAUGCGUAGAUAUCAUUUGGAACGCCAAUGGUGAAAACAGGUAGCUGGGGCUGUGCUGACACUGAGACACGAAAGCCAGGGGAGCAAACGGG